AGAAGCAGUAGGAACAGAAGCAGUAGUAGUAGUAGUAGUAGUAGCAGAAGGAGCAGCAGCAGAAACAGUAGUGGUAUUAGUAAUAGUUGUAGUAGUAGUAGUAGCUAGAACCUUUAAAACUGUAAGUCGUUAGACAGAAUAUAGUAGAUAGAGUUACUCUAUAGAGAUUUGAUUUUGACUUUUUUAAACCUGUCCUGAGUUCCCUGCUAAGAUACAGUUACCUUCUGGGGCUUGUGUGUGUUGAUUUCACAUCCACAUAUGGUGUAGUGUGAGCAAGCAAUGCCAAGUUUGUCUGUUAUUUAUCAGGAACAGUGCUUUAGAUUACAGUCCGCUAUAUUUUAAAUUGUUCAUUUUCUUGCUACUCUCUGUUGGGACCAUGCUUGUUGUUCUCAUUUUGAGUGAGGUGAUUAAAAGGAAAUUAGUUUUUCUGUAAUUAUUCUUGGGAAGUAGCCUAGUAAAAAAAAAGAAAAAAGAUGAAAUGUCCUAAAUCUCUUGCUUUUUCAUCAAGUACAGAAAGUAGUCUCCAGUGUUAAUAAUGUUAGUUUAUACUGGCUUUGACAGAUGCAUAAUUAAUGAAAUAUGCAACACCUGUGUAAUUAAAAACAUCUGUCUCUUGUUUGUCCACAUUACAGUAGCCUACUUUUACGCACUGACAUGUGUACUGCAUACUGCCAAUGAUUAGAAUGGGAUUGGUUAUUUCUACCAGCCUGUCUUAGAAUAAAGUGAAAUACUGCUUAGAUCUAAGUGUGCGGAUAUCUUUUCUAUCAUCUUUUGGAUGUACUGACAUGUUAAAAUGUUAUUUUUUUGUUUGAAAUCAACACUUUUCUAAACCAAACUAAAUCAUAUUUAUAAGUUAAACAACAAUUAUGUUAAACAUAGCUGCAAGCGGUGAUCAGUGGGGUCCAAACACAACUCUUUUCUUGUCAAGUUUCCGACUUUGGAAAAUGGUUUGAUCUAACUGUACCCUGAACUUUUAUUUCUUCUUCAGCGCUGACAAGUGGGAAAAAUAUAGACGUGGGAUCUAAGUAAAGCGAGGGCCACAAUGGAAAUAAGUCCUGUGGCUUUCUUGUGUUUUCCUUGAUGUUCUUUUAGUUGUGCAUGUACAUUGGUGUUGCAACCAUGUAAGUGUCUUUUUAAAAUGAAUUGUCAAAUAAACAAAAAAAGGGCUGGAUGAGA